rnacentral:lncRNA from 1 species
AUGCUUUCUGGUCCCACUUGUACACUUGCCUGGAAAGGGGCUGCCUAUAUCCACAGUGAUACGGAAGACUGAUCUUGGUACAGGAUAGUUACCAAAGGUCUUCUCUUCUCUUCUCUUCUCUUCUCUUCUCUUCUCUUCUCUUCUCUUCUCUUCUCUUCUCUUCUCUUCUCUUCUCUUUUCUUUCUGUCAAUGAAGAAAAAAGAGCCAAGUUGAUGGCCUCUCUGUCAAAGGGUCGUCCUGAGUCAUAACCUAGUCCCCUCCUCAGUGGUAGGGGUCCUAUCAGUGGCAAUAGGUCAUCUCAUACCGUAGGGAGCGGGUUGAGGUGGAGCAUCCUGGGGAAACUCUGAGAAGAACAUCCCAGAAGUAGCACGAGAUCAUUCUGCAACGCUACUGGGCAGCUGGGGCAUCAUCGGUGCUGAGCAGACCAGAGCAGUAGGCCAGUUCCUGGGAUCUUGGAGGGCAAGUGAGUCCAUAGCUCUCUUUAAGGAGUGGAGAGGGUAGAAAGGCAGGAUGAACACGUCAGAGCACCCUUUGUUAUGGGUUCAAUUCACCAGUUGGAUAGAAAAUGCUCCCAGGAACUACCAGGGAGUAAAGAAGUUACAAGAAGAGAGAGGGUCUUGGACAUUCAGCUGCUAUUUGAAAGCCACCCAGAGAGCAGUGGGCUGUUGCACUGGGGGUAAUUGAGGAGUGUUUAUUGUUUCAGGCUGCUGAGAUUCUGGGUUGUUUGUUACCCUGUUAGUCUAUCAUGCUUAAUGGGUACAAAUUGCUCAUGCAACCAUCGAGUUCUAAAUAAGAUAUGGGGCAGCUAGGUGAGCCCAACCGGAUAUUAGAAGAAGGAACUUCAUAGAGAAAAGGAAGAUCAUAAGGGUGGAGGUGGACCCUACUGAGUGUGCUCCCACACUGGUGCAUACUGGAGAAAUAAGACAAGGCUUUUGCUUUCUGCAGCUCUAGAUUUCUCUCUGGCCUUUGAGGAUAGCAGGGGCGGGCAGUGUGGCAGUCUGGCCCAUCUCACACUCAGCAGGUCACUCUGGUAUCCGGGGCCUCGGCUUACCUUGAGAGGCCACUGGAGAGAAAGGAGGGCAGCGCUCGCUUGCUCUCCGUUUCUCAAAUGAUGACUGUACUCCUUUCACCUUAUGGCUUCUACAUGAGCACAGGAGAAAUGUGCAUUAAGGAAAUAAAUGACAUCAUACUCUCAGUGAGCUUGAUGGGAAACGGUGGGGACAGGCAAGAGAAGUGAUCCCAGCAGUCAGCGGGGACCCUGGGAAAGGUAGUGCUGGCAGCAGGCCUAGGAAAUAGCAGGGCAUGUCGCUCCCCUCCCCCUCCCAGCCAGCCUCUGGCUUCUCCAGGGCCACCUUGGAGGUUACAGCCCAUGCAUCUUUAAUUUUUUCAAUUAACAACAAUAUAGAACAAAUGGAGUAGAGUUUUUAAUUAUUCAUAAUUCAUUUAGGAAUAAAAUCUUUGUAAACUAAAGAAGGGAAGGGCCAUAUUACCUUUUUCUUAAGUC